UAAGUGCUGUGAAGUCAGACCGUAAGGACUGGUGGAGCGCUUAGAAGUGAGAAUGCCGGUAUGAGUAGCGAAAGACAAGUGAGAAUCUUGUCCACCGAAUGCCUAAGGUUUCCUGAGGAAGGCUCGUCCGCUCAGGGUUAGUCGGGACCUAAGCCGAGGCUGAAAAGCGUAGGCGAUGGCCAACAGGUUGAUAUUCCU
rnacentral:rRNA from 1 species